rnacentral:rRNA from 1 species
AACGAACGCUGGCGGCAGGCCUAACACAUGCAAGUCGAGCGAGGACUUCGGUUCUAGCGGCGGACGGGUGAGUAACGCGUGGGAAUGUGCCCUUCUCUACGGAAUAGCCCUGGGAAACUGGGAGUAAUACCGUAUACGCCCUAUUGGGGAAAGAUUUAUCGGAGAAGGAUCAGCCCGCGUUGGAUUAGGUAGUUGGUGGGGUAAUGGCCUACCAAGCCGACGAUCCAUAGCUGGUUUGAGAGGAUGAUCAGCCACACUGGGACUGAGACACGGCCCAGACUGCUACGGGAGGCAGCAGUGGGGAAUCUUAGACAAUGGGGGCAACCCUGAUCUAGCCAUGCCGCGUGAGUGAUGAAGGCCUUAGGGUUGUAAAGCUCUUUCAGCUGGGAAGAUAAUGACGGUACCAGCAGAAGAAGCCCCGGCUAACUCCGUG